rnacentral:rRNA from 1 species
UACGUAGGGGCCGAGCGUUGUCCGGAUUCAUUGGGCGUAAAGAGCGUGUAGGCGGCCGCUUAAGUCCUGCGUGAAAUCUCGGAGCUCAACUCCGAGCGGUCGUGGGAAACUGGGCGGCUAGAGUCCGGGAGAGGAGAGUGGAAUUCCUGGUGUAGCGGUGGAAUGCGCAGAUAUCAGGAAGAACACCCGUGGCGAAGGCGGCUCUCUGGAACGCAACUGACGCUGAGACGCGAAAGCGUGGGGAGCAAACCGG